CUUUUCUUUAUUUAUUUCAUUCUACAGCAUUUAUAGUUCUACAGCUAUCUUAUACAGUUUUAUAAUAUUGUGAAUGAUUCCGAAUAUUCAAAACGGAUUGAAAGAAUGAAAGCAGUCAAUGAUGUACUGUAUAACGGUUUAAACUUAGCCGGCCGUACAGCUCACUGCCACUGGCCACUGUCCACUGAGCAGAAGGUAAACCGAAAAUUCACUUUUCUCAUCACAUGAUUCAAUGUUCAGUCGAUCCGCUACAUUGAAAGAUGAGUAUACUUGGCUAUUUUUUGGCAGAGGUAACGAAAUAUAUCGGCUGUCAGUCUAAGACUAAGUGUUUUCACUGAAGUGUUUCUUUAUGCGUUGCCGUUGGCAUUAUAAUAAUAUAAUAUAAUAUAAUAUAAUAUAGAGAGUAAAUUAUAAACAUAACUACAUAACUCAUAAGCUUGACAGAUGUAAGAUAACGAGUUUCACAAUCCUAUUUUAACUGACAACUAUGGCUUUUGGCAGUUUGGCAUAUGUGUUUUUUAAGAGCCCAAUUUUCUUACUUCUCCGACGUGUAAGACGCGAAAAAACUUUAUUAAUAAGAACAAAAAUUUGUAAUAGUAAACAGUGUAUUUUAUUAUGAAGGAUUUUCGUUUUUC